rnacentral:rRNA from 1 species
UACGUAGGGUGCGAGCGUUGUCCGGAAUUAUUGGGCGUAAAGAGCUCGUAGGCGGUGUGUCGCGUCGGCCGUGAAAACCUGCAGCUUAACUGUGGGCUUGCGGUCGAUACGGGCAUCACUGGAGUUCGGCAGGGGAGACUGGAAUUCCUGGUGUAGCGGUGAAAUGCGCAGAUAUCGAGAGGAACACCUGCGGCGAAGGCGGGUUGCUGGGCUGAUACUGACGCUGAGGCGCGAAAGCCAGGGGAGCGAACGGG